AGCAUGGAGGAGGGCCUGAGGGGCAUUUUCCUUGUUGCUCUUUUAAAAGGUGUUCAGUGUGAGGUGCAGCUGGUUGAGUCUGGAGGUGGCCUGUUGAAGCCUGCGGGGUCCCUGAAACUCUCCUGUGUAGCCUCUGGCUUCACCUUCAGCGACUACUGGAUGCACUGGGUCCGCCAGGCUCCAGGGAAGGUGCUGGAAUGGGUUGGAAAUAUUAAUAAAGAUGGCAGUACCACAAACUAUGCACCAUCCGUGAAGGGCCGGUUCACCAUCUCCAGAGACAAUGCCAAAAACACUCUGUACAUGCAAAUGAACAGUGUGAAGUCUGAGGACACCGCCACUUAUUACUGUGCUAGACACAGUGAGGAGAUCUCAGUGUGA